AGCUCCGAUAGCGUAUAUUAAAGUUGUUGCAGUUAAAAAGCUCGUAGUUGAACUUCUAAGAUUUGAAGUUGCCAUACGGACUGUACUGAUAAUCUUAUCCGCUUUGAUUUAGCAAUACGCACUUUGUUGGGCGAUUGUGUAAUCAAGCAAUUUACUUUGAAAAAAUUAGAGUGUUUCAAGCAGGCGAUUUGCUGGAAUACAUUAGCAUGGAAUAAUAGAACACGACCUCUUAGGCAUUUUAUUGGUAUAUGUUUGGAGGUAAUGAUUAACAGGGACAGUUGGGGGCAUUAGUAUUGCAUUGUCAGAGGUGAAAUUCAUUGAUUAGUGCAAGACUAACUUAUGCGAAAGCAUUUGCCAAGGAUGUUU
rnacentral:rRNA from 1 species